GUCGAGUUGGCUUAGGGAUACGUUCGUUGGGUAGGGGAGCGUUCUGUAAGCCGUUGAAGGUGUGUCGUGAGGCAUGCUGGAGGUAUCAGAAGUGCGAAUGCUGACAUAAGUAACGAUAAAGCGGGUGAAAAGCCCGCUCGCCGGAAGACCAAGGGUUCCUGUCCAACGUUAAUCGGGGCAGGGUGAGUCGACCCCUAAGGCGAGGCCGAAAGGCGUAGUCGAUGGGAAACGGGUUAAUAUUCCCGUACUUGGUGUUACUGCGAAGGGGGGACGGAGAAGGCUAUGUUGGCCGGGCGACGGUUGUCCCGGUUUAAGCGUGUAGGCUGACUUUCCAGGCAAAUCCGGAGAGUCAAGGCUGAGGCGUGACGACGAGGCACCACGGUGCUGAAGCAACAAAUGCCCUGCUUCCAGGAAAAGCCUCUAAGCCUCAGGUAACAUCAAAUCGUACCCCAAACCGACACAGGUGGUCAGGUAGAGAAUACCAAGGCGCUUGAGAGAACUCGGGUGAAGGAACUAGGCAAAAUGGUGCCGUAACUUCGGGAGAAGGCACGCUGACACGUAGGUGAAGCGGUUUACCCGUGGAGCUGAAGUCAGUCGAAGAUACCAGCUGGCUGCAACUGUUUAUUAAAAACACAGCACUGUGCAAACACGAAAGUGGACGUAUACGGUGUGACGCCUGCCCGGUGCCGGAAGGUUAAUUGAUGGGGUCAGCGCAAGCGAAGCUCCUGAUCGAAGCCCCGGUAAACGGCGGCCGUAACUAUAACGGUCCUAAGGUAGCGAAAUUCCUUGUCGGGUAAGUUCCGACCUGCACGAAUGGCGUAAUGAUGGCCAGGCUGUCUCCACCCGGGACUCAGUGAAAUUGAACUCGCUGUGAAGAUGCAGUGUACCCGCGGCAAGACGGAAAGACCCCGUGAACCUUUACUAUAGCUUGACACUGAACACUGGUCCUUGAUGUGCAGGAUAGGUGGGAGGCUUUGAAGUGUGGACGCCAGUCUGCAUGGAGCCAUCCUUGAAAUACCACCCUUUAAUGGCUGGUGUUCUAACGUGGACCCGUAAUCCGGGUUGCGGACAGUGUCUGGUGGGUAGUUUGACUGGGGCGGUCUCCUCCUAAAGAGUAACGGAGGAGCACGAAGGUUGGCUAAUCCUGGUCGGACAUCAGGAGGUUAGUGCAAUGGCAUAAGCCAGCUUGACUGCGAGCGUGACGGCGCGAGCAGGUGCGAAAGCAGGUCAUAGUGAUCCGGUGGUUCUGAAUGGAAGGGCCAUCGCUCAACGGAUAAAAGGUACUCCGGGGAUAACAGGCUGAUACCGCCCAAGAGUUCAUAUCGACGGCGGUGUUUGGCACCUCGAUGUCGGCUCAUCACAUCCUGGGGCUGAAGUAGGUCCCAAGGGUAUGGCUGUUCGCCAUUUAAAGUGGUACGCGAGCUGGGUUUAGAACGUCGUGAGACAGUUCGGUCCCUAUCUGCCGUGGGCGCUGGAAGAUUGAGGGGGGCUGCUCCUAGUACGAGAGGACCGGAGUGGACGCAUCACUGGUGUUCGGGUUGUCAUGCCAAUGGCACUGCCCGGUAGCUACAUGCGGAAGAGAUAAGUGCUGAAAGCAUCUAAGCACGAAACUUGCCCCGAGAUGAAUCUUCCCUGAGCCUUUAAGGCUCCUGAAGGAACGUUGAAGACGACGACGUUGAUAGGCCGGGUGUGUAAGCGCAGCGAUGCGUUGAGCUAACCGGUACUAAUGAACCGUGAGGCUUAACCUUACAAC
rnacentral:rRNA from 1 species